CUAUGUGUGUGUGUGUGUGUGUAGACGACAACAAUAACAACAACAAAAGCCUCCGGUUUGCUGUCGCCUGGCUGUCGUUCUGAGCUGAGGAUUUACACACACUCACACACACAGACACACACACAGUCACACACACACACACACUCAUACACACACACAGCAAAAUUGGUAGUGUUGAUUUCCCAGUGUCAAAUAUUCUGAGUUGAUCCGUGUUGAUCGUGGUGUUCUUUUAGCACUUACAGUGUUAAAACAGCUCUGGGGGCGGAGUUAUUGCGGCGAGUUAAGUGAUGCUCUCCUGACCGAGUUACUUGCACAUCCGGUUUCAACGCGCUCUUUCUUCUGGAAGUCACGGUGAAGAAAACCCGUGGUCAGGAAGAUAUUUAGCUGUUAUUUCAGAAGGUAAGUACACAUUAUAUUUACUUCUACAGGCUGUUCAUCUUCAUAUGAAAUGAUGUGUUAACUUCAAGUGUGGUGAGACGUGUUUUAUAUUUUAGUGAAGCUUGUGACUAAUAGCUAACUUAACGUUUGCUAACGUUAGUUGGUUGAAGGGAGGAGAAAUAAGCCAGGAAGUGUAACAUCAGUCUAUGUAUGAACCUGUUCAAACCGGCCGAGCAUAUUUAAUUCCAGGCCAAUAUAAUAAAUAUACUUUUUUUCUUUCAGUAAAUUUCUUGAAGAAUAUUUAACUUAAUUAUGCCACAUUAUUUUGCCAUCAGAAAUUCGACGAUCCACCAUGACAGGACAUAAACGAGAGUUUCCGGUACUUCUGCCUCGAGGGCUAGCUUUACUAACGGGAGUUUCGCGGUACUGCUGUGUCGAGGGCUAACGUUACUAACGGUAGUUUCGCGGUACUGCUGUCUCGCGCGCUAACAUUAUUAACGGUAGUUUCGCGGUACUGCUGUGUCGAGGGCUAACGUUACUAACGGUAGUUUCGCGGUACAGCUGUGUCGAGGGCUAACGUUACUAACGGUAGUUUCGCGGUACAGCUGUGUCGAGGGCUAACGGUAGUUUCGCGGUACUGCUGUGUCGAGGGCUAACGUUACUAACGGUAGUUUCGCGGUACUGCUGUGUCGAGGGCUAACGUUACUAACGGUAGUUUCGCGGUACUGCUGUGUCGAGGGCUAACGGUAGUUUCGCGGUACUGCUGUGUCGAGGGCUAACGGUAGUUUCGCGGUACUGCUGUGUCGAGGGCUAACGGUAGUUUCGCGGUACUGCUGUGUCGAGGGUUAACGUUAGUUUCGCGGAACUGCGGUCUCGCUGUCUUGCAUUUCACCGGCGUAUGGUUUAAUUGGCUGACUUUUAUCGCAGGCAUAUGCUAAACUGCGACAGGGACUAAAGAGGAAAAAGCGAGUGCCUAAUUGAUACCAAAACGUUUCUGCAAGAUAUCACCAUGCUGCUGAAGGUGAGAUACCAGAGUACCAAGAAGUACAUCCCAUUACAGCUAGGUUUCACCUAUUUGGAAUUCAUCACUGCAGGUGAGUAACAUAUUAUGUAAAAAACAAAUUAUUGCUGGUUUAACAACAAAUACACAAUGUUUAAGUGGCAUUGUUCAUAGGAUUGUCAUAAUCCUAAUGGGUUUUUAUUAUUUUACUUGUACUUGGUGCUGUCCGUCUUAUGGCGUGAAUAGUCUACUUCUUGCUGCAGGCCUUUUUUUGGUUUAUUUUGACAUUCUUAAAUACAGCAAACAUUGACAAUUAUGGAGCUUCUACCUCUUAUUGUUACUUUGUUUAAAUUCCAUAUCUGGAUUAUCUUGGUUGCUUGGCUACACAUUCAAGUCUUGCCACAACUGGAAAACAGGUCGUCUGCUAUUGCAGCUAUACACAACAGUAGAUAACUGAUGGUGUUUUUAGUUUUCAACUUGCUUCUGAAAGUUAUUGUUUUUUGUACAGUAAUGGCGACAACACAACAUUGUAAUACUGCUGUUAAGUCAAAGCAUGUAAUUUCAGAUAUGUUAUAUAGAUAAUAUGGUUGAUCAGUCAUUAUGUGCAGUUAAAACCUGUUUUUUAUCUUUAUGUUGUCAUGCUUUUCAUCCUGUAGUCAAAACAAAUUUGGACUCCAUGAUGCAGCUGAACUUCACAUAUUUGAUGAAACUGACACUGCAGUGGAGGAAGACAUUCUUCUUGAACUGAUAAGAGUCCAAUCCAGACCUUUGCCUGAUCGUGCGUGACAGCAUUUCAGAUAAAGAUCAUUCAACACCAUCUUCUCUCACGGAUACAUGACGCUUUCUUCAAGUGACAAUGACCUCUCCGGUCAAAGACAAAGGGGGAUUUUGAGCUCUGAGGUCAUGGACAGGUCUA